AUCUCUGCUUACUCUAAUACGAUAUAUACUAAAAUUGGAAUAAAACAGAGAUGAUUAGCAGCACCCUGUAGAGGAAUGACAGGCAAAUUCAUGAAACAUUCCAUAUUCUC